UACGUAGGGGGCAAGCGUUGUCCGGAUUUAUUGGGCGUAAAGAGCGUGUAGGCGGCCUGACAAGUCUGCUGUGAAAACUCGAGGCUCAACCUCGAGAUGUCGGCGGAAACUGUCUGGCUAGAGUCCGGAAGAGGAGAGUGGAAUUCCUGGUGUAGCGGUGAAAUGCGCAGAUAUCUGGAGGAACACCGGUGGCGAAGGCGGCAUCCUGGACCGGUAUUGACGCUGAGGCGCGAAAGCUAGGGGAGCAAACGGG
rnacentral:rRNA from 1 species